UACCAGCGAUUGGUUGUGCUGGGGAAAGGUUGUAGGCAUGUGUCUUAGGCAAAUCCGGGACACUCUAUGCUGAGAACUGAGACGAACCUGUACUUGUACGGGGAAGUGAUAGAUGCCAUGCUUCCAAGAAAAGCUCCUAAGCUCCAGUCAGUAAGGGAUCGUACCCGAAACCGACACAGGUGGUCAGGUCGAGAAGACCAAGGCGCUUGAGAGAACUCUGGUGAAGGAACUAGGCAAAAUAGUACCGUAACUUCGGGAGAAGGUACGCUGUUGAGGGUUAAGGAUUCACUCCGUAAGCCUUCGGCAGCCUCAGAAACUAGGCCGCUGCAACUGUUUAUUAAAAACAUAGCACUCUGCAAACACGAAAGUGGACGUAUAGGGUGUGAUGCCUGCCCGGUGCUGGAAGGUUAAUUGAUGGGGUUAGCUAACGCGAAGCUCUCGAUCGAAGCCCCAGUAAACGGCGGCCGUAACAAUAACGGUCCUAAGGUAGCGAAAUUCCUUGUCGGGUAAGUUCCGACCUGCACGAAUGGCAUAAUGAUGGCGGCGCUGUCUCCACAGAGACUCAGUGAAAUCGAAAUCGCGGUGAAGAUGCCGUGUACCCGCGGCUAGACGGAAAGACCCCGUGAACCUUUACUGCAGCUUUGCACUGAACUUUGAUCUUACCUGUGUAGGAUAGGUGGGAGGCUUUGAAGCUCGGACGCUAGUUCGAGUGGAGCCAUCCUUGAAAUACCACCCUGGUAAUAUUGAGGUUCUAACCCAGGUCCGUUAUCCGGAUCGGGGACAGUGUAUGGUGGGUAGUUUGACUGGGGCGGUCUCCUCCCAAAGAGUAACGGAGGAGUACGAAGGUGCGCUCAGCGUGGUCGGAAAUCACGCGUAGAGUAUAAAGGCAAAAGCGCGCUUAACUGCGAGACCGACAAGUCGAGCAGGUACGAAAGUAGGUCUUAGUGAUCCCGUGGUUCUGUAUGGAAGGGCCAUCGCUCAACGGAUAAAAGGUACUCUGGGGAUAACAGGCUAAUUCCUCCCAAGAGUUCAUAUCGACGGGGGAGUUUGGCACCUCGAUGUCGGCUCAUCACAUCCUGGGGCUGUAGUCGGUCCCAAGGGUAUGGCUGUUCGCCAUUUAAAGUGGUACGCGAGCUGGGUUUAAAACGUCGUGAGACAGUUUGGUCCCUAUCUGCCGUGGGCGCUGGAAAUUUGAAGGGGGCUGCUCCUAGUACGAGAGGACCGGAGUGGACGAACCUUUGGUGUACCGGUUAUGACGCCAGUCGUAUCGCCGGGUAGCUAAGUUCGGAAGAGAUAAACGCUGAAAGCAUCUAAGCGUGAAACUC
rnacentral:rRNA from 1 species